rnacentral:rRNA from 1 species
AGCGAACGCUGGCGGCAGGCUUAACACAUGCAAGUCGAGCGCCCCGCAAGGGGAGCGGCAGACGGGAGAGUAACACGUGGGAACAUACCUUUUGGUUCGGAACAACUGAGGGAAACUUCAGCUAAUACCGGAUAAGCCCUUACGGGGAAAGAUUUAUCGCCGAAAGAUUGGCCCGCGUCUGAUUAGCUAGUUGGUGAGGUAACGGCUCACCAAGGCGACGAUCAGUAGCUGGUCUGAGGAUGAUCAGCCUCACUGGGACUGAGACACGGCCCAGACUCCUACGGGAGGCAGCAGUGGGGAAUAUUGGACAAUGGGCGCAAGCCUGAUCCAGCCAUGCCGCGUGAGUGAUGAAGGCCUUAGGGUUGUAAAGCUCUUUUGCCCGGGAAGAUAAUGACGGUACCGGGAGAAUAAGCCCCGGCUAACUUCGUGCCAGCCGCCGCGGUAA